rnacentral:rRNA from 1 species
CCCUUAGAUGUUCUGGGCCGCACGCGUGCUACACUGAGUAAAUCAAUGGGUAAGGGAACACGAAAGUGCAGCCUAAUCUUGAAAUUUGCUCGUGAUGGGGAUCGACGGUUGCAAUUUUCCGUCGUGAACGAGGAAUACCUUGUAGGCGCGUGUCAUCAUCACGCGCCGAAUACGUCCCUGCCCUUUGUACACACCGCCCGUCGCUCCUACCGAUUGAGUGAUCCGGUGAGGCUCUGGGACCUGGACGGAAAGAGCGUUUCGCUUGUUCUGUUUGGGAAACUUGGUCGAACCUUAUCAUUUAGAGGAAGGAGAAGUCGUAACA